GGCUGGUUGGUGAAGUGGCCUAACACACUGGUUUUAGGAACCAACUGCAAAGCUGCAGUUUUCUAAGCGCACACCAGGAUUCCUGGGUUCGAAUCCCAGACUAGUCA